rnacentral:rRNA from 1 species
GACAGAGGUGCCGAGCGUUAGGCGGAAUCACUGGGCUUAAAGCGUGUGUAGGCGGAUUCCUAAGUACCUUGUGAAAUCCCACGGCUCAACCGUGGAACUGCUUGGUAUACUGGGUGUCUUGAGCCAACUAGGGGCUACCGGAACAAAUGGUGGAGCGGUGAAAUGCGUAGAUAUCAUUUGGAACGCCAAUGGUGAAAACAGGUAGCUGGGGUUGUGCUGACGCUGAGACACGAAAGCCAGGGGAGCAAACGGG